AGCAAGCUUGAUCAAGUGAAUCCGCUAUGUUCUGGCUCAAAUUUAUUCUGGCUAAAGUUUCAUGAAAUCCACCAAUCAUUUUUUCUGUUUAGGGCUUGUUUCUGAAGAUAUUUGUACUUGUCUUUGAGGAUUUUGUGUGAAAGCAAUUUCUUUGACACACUAAUUUGCAUUAAAAGCCUAUGCCUGUAAUUGUGGCUGAACGCAUAAUAUUGCUUACUUUUUUUCAGGAUUUCAUGGGUUUUUUAUAGUAUAGUGAACGUGCUGUUUUGAUAUAAAUAUGUAUUAAAAAAAAAUCUCCUUUUUUCCAUUCAAGUAAUGCU
rnacentral:misc_RNA from 1 species